CUCCUCAGACUGAUUUAACACCAGAGGACAGAAAAAAGAAAACUCCUCCAAAUAUGUUAAACAGGAUGUUCCUGGUUUUCAUAUUAUAUCUCUUUCACCUGCCGGUGAAUAAUGGUGACUCUAACAACUACAAUGUCCUCCAAACACCUCCUUUCAUCAUCAAGAAACCUGAUGAAUCUGUUCUCAAUGAGAUCCAAUGUUCACACAGUAUAUCUAGUUUUCAGAACAUCUUUUGGUACAAACAAGACAAACACGGAGCUCUUAAGUACCUUGGAUAUCUGAAUAUGCAGUUCCCUAAUAUAGAGGAGAAUGUGAAAGACAAGAUCAGCUUUGAUGGAGAUGGCAGAUCACAUUCAACUCUAAAUAUUUCUACAGUUUCAGUCUGAUGGAUGGGAGGAAGUCACCCAGUCCUCUGUACUGUGGAAAUUUCAGUGUGAAAAUGCAACGAUGGACUGCAAACCUACCAAGGGUGGUCUCUAUUACAGAUGUACUGGUACAGACAGUUUUCAGUUGUUGACAGUUGUUUUCUUCUUCUGUCUUGUUCUGUUUUCUUCUGUCAUUAGAUGUCAGCAUCAGACCUUUAUGUUAAGAGGAGGAUCCUCUAUGACACCACUUACCUAAGGAUUAAAUGUCUUCACCAAUGCUGUUUGAGGACUGACGCUCAGAAAGAAGCUGGAAAUAUGAAGUAUAACUGCUGAUGCAUGAAGGGAAAUAUUAAACUUUAUCAGCCCAAACAAUCUGGCCUUGAAUUAUUUAAUGCAACCAAAGAUUUAAAGAA